rnacentral:rRNA from 1 species
CGAAAGUUAAGGGUUCGAAGACGAUCAGAUACCGUCGUAGUCUUAACUAUAAAUGAUACUGGCCAGGGAUGGGAUAUUGUCCAUCUCGACUCUUCCUGGAUCUUGGAGAAAUCAGAGUCUUUGAGUUYUGGGGGGAGUAUGGUCGCAAGGCUGAAACUUAGGCAUCCAUUGGGUUUCGAGAGUAGGCUGAAAAUGCUUGCUAGUCCGGUAGCCUCCUCCUCUGCCCCCUAUYUGCCCCCCCUUUGGGGGGGUGGGCUGGGGAAGGGGGAAAGGGGUUACCACCAGGCGAAUCGACGCUGGUUUCAAGGGCGACACUGUCAAAUUGCUGGGACACCCUAAAGCCUCCCCUACUAACUGCGCGCCGAAAGGCGGAAAAGUCAAGUAGACCCCCCCCUUCUCCCGUCAGGGGGAGGGGGGGACGAGCUUGCGCAGGGCCGUGUUAACAACCUCGGGUAUAGUGAGAACGGGGAGGAUGAGGGCUGGGGAUUCGUUUCCCUGGCUUGAAAUGGGCAAUCAGCAGCCAAGCCCGUUAACUGCCACGCCAUGCCCUCUCUCUCUCUCGACCCCUUCUGGGGUUGGGGGGGAAUGGCAUGCUGUGUGGCACACGGGUGCAGUUCACAGGCCAAAUGUCAGUGGGCCACCUAGAUCACCCCCCCCUCUGCCCUUCACAGGGCAGGGGGAAGGUGGUCUAGGGGGCAUAAGAUAUGGUCGGCCCUCGAGGGAAACCUUGAGGAAUAAGUGUAAAGGAAUUGACGGAAGGGCACACAAAGAGUGGAACCUGCGGCUUUGCAGUAAGAUUAGGCCGUGACAGUGGUAGCAAACACCUACCGCUAGUGGGGGGGCUAGCCAUACCCAGUGUGGCUGGCCUUCCUGCGACACCCUCAAAUUGCGGGGAGUCGCUCCUACCGAUUGGAUGUGGUGAAAUACGUUGACCCC